rnacentral:rRNA from 1 species
UAAUACCGCAUAAGACAGUAGCUGGGCAUCCAGCAGCUGUUAAAGAUUUAUCGAUGUAAGAUGGGCAUGCGACCAAUUAGUUAGUUGGCGAGGUAACGGCUCACCAAGACUAUGAUUGGUAGGGGAACUGAGAGGUCAAUCCCCCACACUGGCACUGAGAUACGGGCCAGACUCCUACGGGAGGCAGCAGUAGGGAAUAUUGGGCAAUGGACGCAAGUCUGACCCAGCCAUGCCGCGUGCAGGAUGAAGGCGUUAUGCGUCGUAAACUGCUUUUAUACAGGAAGAAACGACUCUUGCGAGAGGCAUUGACGGUACUGUAUGAAUAAGCACCGGCUAACUCCGUGCCAGCAGCCGCGGUAAUACGGAGGGUGCAAGCGUUGUCCGGAUUUAUUGGGUUUAAAGGGUGCGCAGGUGGUUUAUUAAGUCAGUGGUGAAAGACGGUCGCUCAACGAUUGCAGUGCCAUUGAAACUAGUAGACUUGAGUAAAGUAGAGGUGGGCGGAAUUGAUAGUGUAGCGGUGAAAUGCAUAGAUUAUUAUCAAGAACUCCAAUUGCGUAGGGCAGCUCACUUUGGCUUUUACUGACACUCAUGCACGAAAGUGUGGGUUAUCAAACAGGAUUAGAUACCCUGGUAGUCCACACUGUAAACGAUGAUAG